rnacentral:tRNA from 1 species
AAGAUACUAGUAAAACAAUUACCUUGCCUUGUCGAGGCAAAAUUGUAGGUUAAAGCCCUGCGUACCUUA